rnacentral:tRNA from 1 species
AGGCCCUUAGUUUAGUGGUAAAACAACGGUCUCCAAAACCGUAGAUGAGCGUUCGAUUCGCUCAGGGCCUGCCA